GGUGCCAUGGCUUAGUUGGUUAAAGCGCCUGUCUAGUAAACAGGAGAUCCUGAGUUCGAAUCUAGGUGGUGCCU
rnacentral:tRNA from 1 species